rnacentral:misc_RNA from 1 species
GAUGAAGAACGUAGCGAAAUGCGAUAAGUAAUGUGAAUUGCAGAAUUCAGUGAAUCAUCGAAUCUUUGAACGCACCUUGCGCUCCUUGGUAUUCCUCGGAGCAUGCCUGUUUGAGUAUCAUGAAACUCUCAAAGAAAAUCUUUUGUUAAUUCAAUUGGUUUGCUUUGGACUUGGAGUUCUUGCAGAUUGAAAUCUGCUCCUCUUAAAUAUAUUAGCCGGAUCUCAGUUAUAUGCUCGGUUCCACUCGGCGUGAUAAGUAUCAUUCGCUGAGGACACUGUAAAAGGUGGCCGGGAAAUACAGAUGAACCGCUUCAAACAGUCCAUUCACUUGGACAAAAAUAAGUUUUAAGAUUUGAUCUCAAAUCAGGUAGGACUACCCGCUGAACUUAAGCAUAUCAAUAAGCGGAGGA